CUCGUACUCGUCGUCCUCCGGGAUGCGGAAGGGGCUGGCGGGCAGGCUGCCCAAGCUGCCUCCCAGCGCGCAGGCGCCGCGCCGCGGCCCGGGCCCCGCCGCUGGCCAGGAUCUACUGAGCCAGCUGCAGUUCUAAUCCCAGGAGACCAGUUAACCUUUCUGGGACCUUGUUUGGGUUGGCAAUGCCAGCUUUCUAGCCAAGGCUUGUUUCUUGCUGCCUCCCUCCACCCAGCUUGCUGCUUCCUGGGACAACUUGUUUCUGAUCCUGCAGUGUUCCACCCUGCACUCCUGCCUUUUCGGAUCUUUUCUUCUUAGGACUGAGCCUGAAUGCUGCUUCUGAGAGAGAGCUCUUCUGCCCUCCAGCUGAGGAUAGGUGCUUAAGAAAUGUACCUUGGUGGUCCCAUGUAGCGGAGCUAGAGAGGGCUCUGUGGACUCCAGGAUAGUCAGGGACGUAUAGUAAGACCGUGCGUUAAAACCAAACAGCGACAAAAAGCCCCAAACCAAAAAUGCGUCGGCACCACUUGUUUGGGGCACUGGUCAUAGGCCUACUCAUGUUCUGGUCAUAGGUGGGACUGAUGAAGACCUAUUGCCUUCAGGAAUGAGUAAGUGCUGUGGGCAUCAGAACAGGUGGCUUCUUUCCCUAGUUCAUGGACUCUACUUUCUUGGGCCCAGUCCCACCUUCUCCUUACUUCCCAGCCUUUCUGGUUCUGGUCCCAUCUCAAAUGAGGUCAGCAGGACCUUUGAUCCCAUCUGUAGGGCAGCAGGAGUCCAGACCCAGAGACUCAGCCCCUGAAAUGGUGGCUCUGCCUAGGCCCAGUUCCUAGAUCUGAACAAAUGUCUCGCCACCCCACUCUACAGCCCUCAUUGUUUCCAUACUAUCUGAAGCUUGCCAUCAAGGUUUUAUGGAGGCUUCUGAAUCUCAUGUGUCUUUAGCUUUUGCCCAGUCUUCCUGACCCUGACUUUCUGCUCUGAGCAGUCUGGGCUGCUCUCUCUAGCUUGUCUUUGAGUUUGCCCUCUUCUUCAUGACCUUCCCAGUUCUGGCCCUAGCUGCCCUGAGAGAGCCUAAUCUCUUCUCCUCUGUGCUCCUUUGUAGUCCUUCCAGUGUGGGUGUGCACAGUGCCAUUGAGGCACCCGUUUGUCCUGAGAAUGUAGCCUUCCCUGCACAUCUUCCCAGCAUGGCCCAGGACUUCUCAUCCACCAGCACCCCCUGCCCCAUCUACUCCAGGAGCCUGCAAAGGAAGCUGGGAGCUCCAGUGAGGCCACUGGUCCUUUGAGGUUCACACUAGGAUCAUCAUCAAUUUGCCCAAGGCCCUACCGUUGAUGGUAGAGUUGGGUUUGAACCAAGACUCUUCCCGUGUCUGUCCCUUGGUGCUACAGCUGCAGAGGCCCAGAAACUGUUCGGGACAGGAAGCUGUAGGCACUCAUGCUGAGCAUGGUGGGUUCGGGGAGGAAGUAUAUUCUAACAGAAGCUUUGGAGGCCAUCCCCCACUAGCUUGGCUUGUUCUCGGCUUGAGCAUGUAACACUCACUUGGUCUUGCAGUAGGCGACCACACAGACGAUGCCCACAACUAGCAGAGCCACGCAGAUGCCAGUAAUUGUCAGGACUCUCUUCUGGUACAGCUCCUCAGCCUCUGCAGGGGCAGAUCAGGAACAGAGCCCAUGAAGAUGCGUGUACACAGCCUCCCUAUUCCCCAGCCUCGGGCUCCCUCAGUGCGGGAUAUGUCCACCUCCUUCCAUCCCUUCCCCCUUGCCUGUUCACAGACUGCCUUUGCCUCCCUUCAGGAAACUUCCGCUCCCCCUGGUCACCACCUCCCCUAAAACCCAUACCUGCCCAAUGCACAUGAGUGGAAAAUGCAGGGGAAGGGAGAGGAUGGAGUAGGGGGUGAAGUUCCAAGGCCACAGUAGAGGGGAGGCAACACCUUGACCAGUAGCCCUGCCCUGCUCCAUGGUGGCCCUGCAGAGAGUUGUUCUUCAUGACAAUGAACCUAGGGUGAAGGCCCUUCUCAGGCAUCCCAGCUUCUCUAAAAAGGGCUAAUGACAAGGUGUCAGACCCAGAUUGAGGAAGGAUGCUAGCUAGGCCAGGAGCAGGAACACAGCAAACUGGGGCUACAGCGGGGUGUGGGAAGGAAGGCCUUUUUCCCACAGCCUGGUCAGGGUAGUGCCUUGGCCCUCUGCACCUCGUCUGCUGGUGAGAAACCUACUGUGGCAGCACAGAUUGACAUUUAGGAAUGUCCUUGUACACAAGGAACAGGCCCCAUUUUUAUUACAGGCUGGGAGAGGCUGGGCAUGUCUACCCUCUGUGCCUGGUCUGGCCAGCGCUGCCCCUCUAAAACAGAAAGCCAGGAGGAAGACAAAGAAAAGGUGACAGCACUGGCUACAGCCCACCCCACUCCCAGCUGCUGGCUGGCACUGCCACCUUCCCCUGCUCCCAGCUCAGUGAUAAGUAGAGGCAGACCCUCCAUGAUUGGCAGAGUUCUGAGAAAUGCCCCAGUCCCUCAGAUUUAGACCACCUCCUAUGUACGCCAGCAACCUCAGAACUACAAACCCUCUAGACACUCACACACCCAAAGCUAUGGCUUCCAGAGUCAGACAUGCCUUUCACACAGACACUCAUGCAUGUAUUGUCUAGACAGACUUUCUGUCUAUAUACAGACUGUCUGUAUGCAUUUCUAUCUCUUUCCCUGAUUUCUCCCUGCUUUCUGGUCAAUACCUAUGAGCCAUGCACAGCCAAACUACCAGCUUGCCAGACUAGCUUAGCUCUCUCCACACCUGCUUGCUCAUAUCAUUAGUGAGGCGUCUCUCCUGUUACUCCCUCUCUUCUCACCUCCACUGUCCGUCCAAAAGGCAUCUCAGUUCUGCUUUCCAAGUGAGUGGUGAAUCUGACCACAGUGAGCAUUUUCACCGCUGCCCAUGCAGUCCAGGAGGGGGCUCCCUCCACUAGAGAUGGUCACCCUCUGACAGGCCUUUCUGGUCUGCUUCUACUAACUCUGAUCCAUCCCCACUCUCCACACAUAACUAGUAACAAUGCAGCUCAUUCUAAUCUGCUGCUUAGAAACAUAGAAUAUAGCUUCUCAUUGCAAGUAUAAAAACCAAUGGCUUCCUGUGUCUUCCAGGCCGCUGUAUUACCAAGGCUUCACAUUCCAUUUGGAUCUUAUCUGUGGCCUGUAUGUAGUGCUUGGAGCUAGCUGCAGCAUCUCUUGACUACUGAAUGAGGCAAGCCUGCAUGUACUGUGUCCCAUGCCUUCGAUACUCUGAUACUCUUCCCCAGUUGUUUGGGGGGGCUGGCUACCAGAUGCACCAAGUAGGACAAACCUUUUUGUGAUCAUAAUUCACAGUAGCUCUCUACUGCAGCCAUGCCAAGCUCUGAGUUCCCUCACUUUUUUUCCUUCUGUAUCCCUUGUCAACAGUGUUUCCUGUUUGUUGCUGUCUCCCCUUGAAUGCAGUUCCAGGAGGGUGGGGGUGCUAAAUUUAGCAAGUUCUUAUGUUGAGUGGAUGUUUAUUGGGUAAGCAAGUGAGUGCACCCUCCCCCCUCACACAGACACACACCCAUACUCACCUCCCUGUGCAGGCAGUUUCAACCUCAAACGUCCUGGGCUUAACACAAAGACAUUCCACACUCUUUCUGUAUCCUUGAGUCCUGUCCUGAGACACCUGCUAGCUAGACAUUCCCAUCCUCCAUCCACACAUACCUGCAGAUCAUCCCUGUGCACCGCACCACAAAAACCAGCCUCCACCUCCUCUCCACUCAGUAUAGCCUGAGACCCAGACAGGCACUCACAUGCAUUCUUUGAGCUUUGCCUUCUACCGAGAGCAACCGAUAGGGACUAGGUGGUAGGGGAGCUAGGACCUCCCCAGGGAUGUCAUGAAAAACCCUUUCCAUAUAUGUAGUCUCCGAACCACGUCUGGUGUUCCACACCACCACUACCAUAGCAUUCCUGCCAAUCCUGAGCCCUCUACAUCUGUUGCUAAGCCACAUCUGGAUACUUGGAGUCUCCUUGCAUCAAGCCAGAGAGCUUACAACGCUAAUCUUCAAAGUCCCUUCCAGUCAGGUAGACAGGCUAAAGGGUCAGUGUUUGUGUCUUUGGUGGAGGUGGGUCCCGGAGGUAUCGAAUCACAUGUAAGCUUCUUGGGGGUAGGAGAAAGGGUAGGUAUGGAUUAGAUCCUUGGUGGUUUAGCCCAGAUUCAUACAUACAACAUGCCACUGUAGGGACAGAUCAUGGAAGGAGUGAAAGCCUCAAGCAGAUGGCAGAGUCUGGUAGACAGACACAAUGCAGGGACAGAAGCACAUAGGAAGUUGUCAGCUUCCA